rnacentral:miRNA from 1 species
AGAUCGAUGAUGGUUUGGA